rnacentral:tRNA from 1 species
GGGGAUUUAGCUCAGCGGUAGAGCGCUUGCCUAGCAAGCACAAGGCCCUGGGUUCGGUUCCCAGCUCUG